AAAUGCGAUAAGUAAUGUGAAUUGCAGAAUUCAGUGAAUCAUCGAAUCUUUGAACGCACCUUGCGCUCCUUGGUAUUCCUUGGAGCAUGCCUGUUUGAGUAUCAUGAAAUCUUCAAAGUAAAUCUUUUGUUAACUCAAUUGGUUUCUACUUUGGUAUUGGAGGUCUUUGCAGCUUCACACCUGCUCCUCUUUGUUCAUUAGCUGGAUCUCAGUGUUAUGCUUGGUUCCACUCGGCGUGAUAAGUUAUCUAUCGCUGACGACACUGUAAAAGGUGGCCAAGGUAAAUGCAGAUGAACCGCUUCUAAUAGUCCAUUGACUUGGACAAUACUUUUAUGAUCUGAUCUCAAAUCAGGUAGGACUACCCGCUGAACUUAAGC
rnacentral:misc_RNA from 1 species